rnacentral:rRNA from 1 species
UCAGGACGAACGCUGGCGGCGUGCCUAAUACAUGCAAGUCGAACGGUCUUUCUAUGGAAGCUUGCUUCCACUGAGAAGAUAGUGGCGAACGGGUGAGUAACACGUGGGUAACCUGCCCAUAAGAGGGGGGAUAACAUCCGGAAACGGGUGCUAAUACCGCAUAGUUUUCUUGGUCGCAUGAUCGGGAAAGGAAAGACGGCCUUUGUGCUGUCGCUUAUGGAUGGACCCGCGGCGUAUUAGUUAGUUGGUGAGGUAACGGCUCACCAAGACGAUGAUACGUAGCCGACCUGAGAGGGUGAUCGGCCACAUUGGGACUGAGACACGGCCCAAACUCCUACGGGAGGCAGCAGUAGGGAAUCUUCCGCAAUGGACGAAAGUCUGACGGAGCAACGCCGCGUGAGUGAAAGAAGGUUUUCGGAUCGUAAAACUCUGUUGUCAGAGAAGAACAAGUUGGAGAGUAACUGCUCCAGCCUUGACGGUAUCUGACCAGAAAGCCACGGCUAACUACGUGCCAGCCGCCGC